UUUCCUGCCUUACCGUGCUUGCCAUAGUAAUUCUCCUCUUCUCUCGCCAUCCCAGCCGAGUUUUCCUCUGGCUUGUUUUCUGCCCUGUUUCUUUCUUUCCUUCUCUCUUUCUCCCCUCCCUCCUUCCCCAGUCAGCUGCUAAUCAGCCGCCCAAUGAGGCGCCUCGAGUUGCCUCUCCCUUGGGGGCCGAACUGGCCAAACCUGUAAAAGACAUUUGGGGGAAAAUGGGAGGCACGCCCUGCCUUUCCAAGAGCCUGCUCGGCCGAGUCUUCUUUACUAGCUGUGAGCAAAGAGGCGCCUUUGCCCAUGCCGGACCUGAAUAGUCAGUUCCAGAACCAGUAGCCGCCUGCCGGGGAGAAGCUGCCUUUGGCCUUCAUGAGACCAUAUCCUCCAGCCUAUUACAAAAGGGAGCCUUUGGAUGAGCGGUUCCCUUAAUGGAGCGCAACCCAGAAUCAACAGGGUUGCGCCCUCUCAGCUGACCAGGUUGGGGUGUCUGUUGGGGGCUGUUUUAGAUAUAGGCCUUCGCUUGCCUGCUCUGUUGCUGAUUCUUGGGCCACCAUCCAAUGCUGGGCUCGCUUGGUGCCCACCGCCAGGAGCCUCCUCACCCUGCUGGGCUCCAUUUGCAGACGAACUACACCCCCUCAGCUUGCCUGCCGGAGGGAGGGCGCCGUCUUGCAACCCGCAACGAGCCGCCUAUUCACCUGCAGCCUGCCGCAGUGCGCACGCUCCUUCCCAGGUCGCCGCUCCCGCUGCACUACAGCAGCUAAGCAUAGUGCCCCGGACCUCCAGCAGGCGCCUGAGUGCUGGCGCCACCCGGCCAAGGCUGACCGCAGCAGGAGCAGGACAGGUGGCAGCGAGCGCUGUGAUGUUCCUGUAAGUUAGCAUCUGUAAAUAUGAAUUGAGACAUCACUGAGCAUCAUCAGAAAAGAUACAGGAGUUGAGUGCCUGGCAUCUUCCAUUUCCAGCAUCUGUCGUCAUUGGAAAGGCCUACAAUAAGAGAUUUGGCUGCAGCCCAAUAUGACCUCAACAAGAUUUUUUUGUUGAGUCUCAAACCUAAUGAAGAUCUUGUUUCUAUAUUCAUGUGAUGCCUCAAGGAUUUCUGGGGCUCCUCGUGGCCUCCAAUAUCUCCAGAAACAUAAGAGACUAAGGAUCAUGCUCCCCUGAGAGAAAUUGUCUCUCUGGUGAUACUAAGAUGAGAAGAAUGCACAUCUGUGCAAACCAUAAAUGGGCUCAAAAAUACUUACAGGAGAAUGUGUAUGUGUGAAGAAAACUUAGUUGUAAUGAUGCAAUCAGCCUGGCAAUGGGAUUUUCCUGAGCUAAGAAACAAAGAUUUUGUAGGCUGACAUACGAAGGGAUGACUAGGGAGAAACCAGGAAGCUGAGGAAAAGGGAGAAAAUCAAAGACUGCGGGAUUAGUUUCAGUUUUUUUCCAUUUUGCAUUAGCAAGGGGCAUAGGCUAAGACCGUAACAGGAAGAGAUCUAAGUUUUCCAGAAGCUGGUAUACCAAAAAAUAGAGCUUAUCUAGCAGUAACCUACCUGUUUUCAUUUCUUUCACGGGGUACUUAUUCCACAUCUGCUUGACCCAGUUAUCUUAAUAGACUCUGAAUACCUGUCACUGGGGUACAAUACUGGCAAAGUGCUAUUACCUCAUGUCUUGUUUGUAGGCUUCCCAGUAGCAUCUUGUUGGCCACUGUGGGAAACAGAAUCCUGAACUAGAUGAGCCUGUGGUCUGCUCCAGCAGGGCUCUCUUUAUAUUCCUGCUUUGCUUUCAUUAACUAAGACUCCAAUCCAAUACACACUUGCCUGGGAGUAAGUUAGGGUUGCCAGGUCGGAACCAUACAAAAACCUGAGAAAAUGGGGGCGGGCCCUGGUGAUGUCACGGGGGUGGGCCCUGGUGACAUCACAGGGCGGGCCCUAGUGACAUCAUGGGGCGGGCCCUAGUGACAUCACGGGGCGGGCCCUAGUGACAUCACAGGGCGGGCCCUAGUGACAUCAUUAAACAUGAUACAUUGUAUCAACCACAGUUGCUUGGAGCAUACCAUUCAAAAAAAAAUUCUCUGGAGAUUAAAAUAGAAAUCUUGCCUAAAAUAGGGUGUUCCUAGGUCCAUCUGAAGUGACAAGGUCAUUCUUUCUCACAAGCUUAUGGUGAUGCAAAAUGGAAAUGGACUGCCUUCAAGUUGAUCCCAGAUAGGGUCUUCAGGAUAAGCAGUAUUCAGACAGAGGUGGUUUACUAUUGCCUUCCUCUGAGUCUGAGAGGCAGUGACUGGCCCAAGGUCACCCAGUGAGCUUCAUGGCUGUGUGGGGAUUCGAACCCUGGUCUGCCAGAUCACAGUUCAACGCCUUUAGGGAACAUUUAAUCUAGUUUACUUGCUUCUGGCAAGAAGGGUUUACGUGCCCUCAGGCCAGGCCAUUAUUGGAAGAAAGGAGCUUAGUGUUGCAGAGAUGUUAGAUGGGAGCACAGAUGGAUGCCCCUGAAGGCAGCAACUGUAAGCAUGUUUAUUAAGGAACUAAGCCCCAUAGAACUCAAUAGGAGUUACUUCUGAGUAGAUAUGGUUGCAGCCAUGUUAAGGACAAGGGAGGGCAUUCUAGGCAAAACAGACAAAUAAUUGGGUGUCAGAACAAAUUAAACCAGAACUAUCACUAGAAGCUAAAAUGAUGAAACUGGGGUUAUCAUACUUUGGACACAUCAUGAGAAGACAUGAUUCACUAGAAAAGACAAUAAUGCUGGGGAAAACUAAGAGAUGGAUUGAUUCCAUAAAGGAAGCCACAGACCUGAACUUAGAAGAUCUGAAUAGGGUGGUUCAUGACAGAUGCUGUUGGUCACUAAUUCAUAGGGUUGCCAUAAGUCAUAAUUGACUUGAAGGCACAUAACAAUUUCUUUUAAUAUAAAACUACCUAUGCCUGUGACUGGACCCUGUUGGUCAUUUUAAUGACAGCAGCAUACUGUCAUGGGUGGUGGUGGUGGUUGGUAUUUAUGUGGAAUCAAUCAGUCAGGUUUAUAACUGUUAUUCCGACACUACUGAACAGUGUGCAACUCAUUCCUGAUGAAGUAAAACCUACUGUAGCAAAUUGGGCCUGAGGAAUAAGGAAGUAAGGACUACUUCCAAAGUAAGACAGAAAAGGGGUGAAGAGGGGGAUGAACAAGGUAGCAUAGUGACUAAGUGUGAGGAGUAAAGUUCCUGGCUAAAAUAUCACCUCAGUGUUUCUGCAUUCACUCUUUCCAGUAUGAGAACAAAUCUAUCUUAACAGUCUGUUGUAAGGACACCCUAGAAUUUGCCAGCUUAAUACUGGUGUGGGCAUACAAGUUUGAUGCACACCAGUUGAAGCUGAUAAGACUAUCUGCCCUUCCCCCUCUCCAAAUCCAACCUAGAACAUGUUAGAUGCUCUUGGAGACAUCUGCCCAUCCACCUCCCUCUUCACAUAUCCCUCUGCUGCUUGUAGUGCAGCAGCAAAUGAAGAAAGCUUUUUGUGUAGUGGUGGUUCCCUGCCUUUGGAAAGUCCACUUUAGGAAGGCCUGCCUUCUGCCACCUUUUAGGUGAAACAUCCCCCCAAAUUUUAAAAACUAAUUUUGAUCCUUUAGUUUUAUUUGGAUUUCUUUUUCUACUUUGUACAUUUAAAACAUUUGAAUAGUGCAUCCAAACAGCUUAGAGAACUGGGGGCUCAUUGUCCAAUGGAAACUAAGCCACAUCCAAGAGUACAUUGGCGUUUCAGCACCAGGAAAAACCACACCUCUUUGCUCAGGCUUUUAUGAGUAUGUGACGUUCACUGCUGUUUUGUCUGUUCUCAUUGCUGGAUAUGUUUUAAUUGCUCUUAAUGGAUUUUAAGAUUUGGUUGCUGCUUAGAGGUCUAUGAUGAGUGGGAUACAAUACACAUAAAUAAAAUAAAUUGUAUUUUCAAGUUUAAUGCAGCAAAAAUACUUCAGCCUGCAACUCUACACCCACUUACUGGGAAUAAGCACCACUGUACAAAGUUGGCCUUGUUGUCUUUACAUGACUAUGCAGUUUGACUUCUUAAAAAAGGUGACCCAACUAGAUGAGCAGAUUAAGAGAUUUAAUGCAAGUACCUAAAAACUGAAGAUGACAAGUGCAGUCUUUAGAGACAUUCCCCUUUUCUUACCAUGAACUAUUAUUUACUUAAUUUAUACCCUGCCCUUCCUCCCGCAGGAGCCCAGGGAGACAAUUAAGGGACUGGCUGUCUACUCCAACACAUAUGUUCCCCUAAAAAGGACUCUUCUUGUUUCAGAAAGUUUUUUACCCAUAUGCAAAAUCUGAUGGGGUGGUGAGUAGGGCUGUAAGCUCAGCAAGAGCACGUUUUAAAUGCAGAAGGGCCCAGGUUCAGUUUCCAGUAUCUCUCAGUACAGCUAAGAACCUAUUUGAAACACUGGAAAACUACCAUCAACUACUUGUUGUGUCUGAAGCCUUGAGUCUGCAGAUGUUGUUGGACUACAAGUCCCAUCAUCCAUACCCUUUAGCAAGUUGGCUGGGGAUGAUGAGAGUGGUAGUCCUACAACAUCUGGCGGGCUCCUGCUAGGAGGAAGGGCGGGAUAUAAAUCAAAUAAUAAAUAAACAAACAUCUGGGGACCCAAGGUUGAAGAACACUGCUGUAGACAGGAGUUAGAUGGACAAAUGGCAGCUUCCUAGGAACUAUGAUUAAAUUAAGAUUUCCAAUAUGUUUGCAGCCCUACCUAUAAAGAAACUUGUACACUUUCAAAAGGCACUGGUAAAAAACAAAUAAACCACCUUAUUGGAGAUCAGUGUUAAAAUAUUUUUGCACAUUUAAAACUAUACCCCUUCACACAAACCCUUCCCAAGCCUCAUUCAGGAAUCUACAUACUAUAGAUUAAUGACUCCACUGUUAGGUAUGAGAGGUCAACUAAAAUGUUUUGAGGGGUAAUUAAACACAACAUGAGAUUUCUGGUGUCUUUUCAAUGUAUGAUUAUGGCUGGGAGUGAAAAUUCUAGUUUGUGUCAGACCAUUUGGUUUUGGUAGGCGAAUAACAGGUAUAAAGGGCUUUUUAUUUAACAGUAAAUGCAGAAUACAGAAAAUAGUAUAUAAAGCUACCUUUAUUUAGACUUUUACAGAACAGGCCAAUGAAUACACUUACAGGAAGUUUAAAAACAGCAAGUCACCUUUUUACACCAACUAUAUUGCCAUCAACUUGCUUUAGAUGUUACAGAAAUGCCAAGUUUUGGGAUCAGCUUCCCCAUUCAACAGGUAUUCAACACAACAUCUUAAUCCCAAAUUAUUAUAUUAUACUGCGUUUUUAUUGGCAUUUGAAGGUUUAGUCUGUGGCCAACAAUAAUCUAGUUUAGAAGUUACCUAUAGCCUUCCUCCAAUACACUGCAAAGCACAGAAAUGAAUGGAAAUGCAGGUUUAAAAAAAUAUUCUAAGCAUUACUCUAGAACUAGGAGAGAGGAAAGGCUUAUGGCAAUACUUACAGGACGUCUCUAAACAGAUUUUAGAUGGCCAAGUCAUUAGAACUAGCCUGAUGUACCUACUUUACUCCCAUCUAUGGACAGUUAGUCUCUCUUU